ncrna:unclassified sequences c-di-GMP-II-GAG riboswitch
GCACAAGGUAGAGGCCAACAACCCCGACCCACCAAGACGGGCACCUAAUGGAGUUGGGGGAGGAGCCAGUGGUGCGACCGGCUACCGCGUAU